UGUUCAUUAUUUUAUAAGCGGAGGAAAAGAAACCAACCGGGAUUGCCUCAGUAACGGCGAGUGAAGCGGCAAAAGCUCAAAUUUGGAAUCGCUUUCGGGCGAGUUGUAAUUUGAAGACUGUCUCUUGCGUGAGUGUCUUGUCGAAGUUCCUUGGAACAGGACGUCGCAGAGGGUGAGAAUCCCGUGCGAUGAGACCACGAGCGUGUGUAGAGGCAAGUCGACGAGUCGAGUUGUUUGGGAAUGCAGCUCUAAGUGGGUGGUAAAUUCCAUCUAAAGCUAAAUACAGGCGAGAGACCGAUAGCGAACAAGUACAGUGAUGGAAAGAUGAAAAGAACUUUGAAAAGAGAGUGAAAAAGUACGUGAAAUUGUUGAAAGGGAAGGGCUGGUGAGAUCAGACUGGGUUAAACCGGCCAGCAUCAGGUGCUGCGGCGAGACAAGACUGUGGGAAAGUGGCCUCGCUUCGGUGAGGUGUUAUAGCCCGCAGAGAUGUCGCCAGCGGCGCCUGAG
rnacentral:rRNA from 1 species